GGGUAAGUCUUGCACGGCCAGCUCCCACUGAACUCCCCCAGAUCCGGAAGGAAGCAAGGGUAGGUGGUUGAAGCGGUGCGAUGUAAGUAACUUACCCAUU
rnacentral:SRP_RNA from 1 species